GGAAACUGAAUGGCACUGCCGCCUCCCUCGUCUCGCUAUCACUCGUCUCUCUUUCUAUCUGUGCAUCUGAGGAAUCGGGAGCCUUUUGCCCCUCGGCGCCCGAGGAAAUAAUGAGGUGCCAACGGAGAGUCACAGCUCCACCGCUAAACAGCGAGUGCAAAAACCCAGCGAAGAUUGUGGCACAAGGAAGACGAGGCCUGAGAAACUCGUUCCACUUGGUGCUCGGGGCUCGGGGGGCGAGAUCACGCUCGAUCCUUAGCAGCAUGCCGCUGCGCAGUGCCAGCGGUGAGGCUGUGUGCCCGCCAACUCUUUUGUUUCCCUCAGAGUUGUUCCCACCUCCGGGAUCCACGCUCCACUGUUCACGUGCAACAACUGGAGCAAUUACAAGCGCAGCGAUUGCACACGAGUGUCCGUGUGUGUUUGUAAUUCGUUAAGCUCCGACAUAUCCACCCAGAGAGGGGAGGAGGAAAAAUGAAUAGGAGGAUGAUAAAAAAUGAAUAAGACACCGCGGCUUGUUUGAUCCUCUCUUGCAACCCGUGCCGUAAUUUGAAAGGGGUGGGAGAGGAGGACGAGGAUGAGGAUGAGGACGAGCAUGGAGCUCCUGGCAAAUAUGCGUCCAUCAGAGCCGUGGCACGGAAAUUCUAAUGGUGUUGCAGAAAAACAAGCAUUCAGAAGGGGACUCAUUAGAAGUGCGAAAACAGACUGAUGGAGCCAGAAGAUGGGAGGAAUAAGCAAGCCCCAGAGUUAGAAGUCUGACUGAGACACAUCUGGAAACAAACCAGACGCUUCAGUGGGUUUGGAGGAACAAUUUCACGAGGACAGGAAGACUUUUCCACAAGGAACUAGAGGAGUGGGGCAUGUUCUCUUGUAGGCUCUCUGGAGAAGGAGGUUCUGUGUGAACUGUCAUCAUUAUUGCAUCUGGAGACCAAUAUGGUGCUCUACAUGGAUGUUGGGCUGGAAAUACUGUAACGGAGGAAUUUUAGACACAAGAGUCUAUGCGUCAGGACUGUGAUGCCAAGAUGAAUAGUGUGUGUGUGUGUGUGUGCCUUCCCGAGUGGCUGGAUUGCCACUGAUGACUGAAUCAGAUGAUCUGUAUCCUUGCUCAAACAUGAUUUGGUUUGAAAGUAAUAAUCAUUUUGUUCAUAAUUACUCG
ensembl:lncRNA